rnacentral:rRNA from 1 species
GACGAACGCUGGCGGCGCGCCUAACACAUGCAAGUCGAACGAGCGAGAGAGAGCUUGCUUUCUUGAGCGAGUGGCGAACGGGUGAGUAACGCGUGAGGAACCUGCCUCAAAGAGGGGGACAACAGUUGGAAACGACUGCUAAUACCGCAUAAGCCCACGGUGCCGCAUGGCACAGAGGGAAAAGGAGCAAUCCGCUUUGAGAUGGCCUCGCGUCCGAUUAGCUAGUUGGUGAGGUAACGGCCCACCAAGGCGACGAUCGGUAGCCGGACUGAGAGGUUGAACGGCCACAUUGGGACUGAGACACGGCCCAGACUCCUACGGGAGGCAGCAGUGGGGAAUAUUGCACAAUGGGGGAAACCCUGAUGCAGCGACGCCGCGUGGAGGAAGGAGGUCUUCGGAUUGUAAACUCCUGUUGUUGGGGAAGAUAAUGACGGUACCCAACAAGGAAGUGACGGCUAACUACGUG